UCUAUCUUGCUGGUAGCUCUGUCCUUACCCUGUAGUAGCAGCAGGUUGGGGACAAGCCCAGGGUGUGCUGAUGCUCUGUGCAGACCCAAGGAACAGAGCUGAUGGUGCUGGCACCAGAUGUGCCACUCCUGGCUGAGCCACAGACUAUCCUGUGGGAUGGUGCUUCAGGUGACUGCAGCUUUUAAGGGAGGAGGAGCCUGCUGGACCCCUCGUUUAUUGAAAUUUGCCCUGCCAAUCCAUAUCUGGAAACAGAAAACUGUAGAAGCCAAAGGGAAACAAUCAAGACGCUG
ensembl:lncRNA